rnacentral:rRNA from 1 species
AUCGUAAAACUCUGUUGUCAGAGAAGAACAAGUUGGAGAGUAACUGCUCCAGCCUUGACGGUAUCUGACCAGAAGCCACGGCUAACUACGUGCCAGCAGCCGCGGUAAUACGUAGGUGGCAAGCGUUGUCCGGAUUUAUUGGGCGUAAAGCGAGCGCAGGCGGUUCCUUAAGUCUGAUGUGAAAGCCCACGGCUCAACCGUGGAAGGUCAUUGGAAACUGGGGAACUUGAGUGCAGAAGAGGAGAGUGGAAUUCCUGGUGUAGGAGUGAAAUCCGUAGAUAUCAGGAGGAACACCGGAGGCGAAGGCGGCUAACUGGUGGUGCAUUGACGCUGAAGCGCGAAAGCGUGGGGAGCAAACAGGAUUAGAUACCCUGGUAGUCCACGCUGUAAACGAUGAAUACUAGGUGUUUGGGGAAUUAACCCCCUGAGUACUGAAGCUAACGCAUUAAGUAUUCCGCCUGGGGAGUACGGUCGCAAGGCUAAAACUCAAAGGAAUUGACG